rnacentral:rRNA from 1 species
UACGUAGGGGGCAAGCGUUGUCCGGAUUUAUUGGGCGUAAAGAGCGUGUAGGCGGCCAGGUAGGUCGGUUGUGAAAACUCGAGGCUCAACCUCGAGAUGUCGACCGAAACCAUCUGGCUAGAGUCCGGAAGAGGAGAAUGGAAUUCCCGGUGUAGCGGUGAAAUGCGCAGAUAUCGGGAGGAACACCGGUGGCGAAGGCGACAUCCUGGACCAACACUGACGCUGAGGAGCGAAAGCCAGGGGAGCAAACGGG